rnacentral:rRNA from 1 species
UACGGAAGGUGCAAGCGUUGUUCGGAAUGACUGGGCGUAAAGCGCACGUAGGCGGGUUCGCAAGUAGGAUGUGAAAGCCCCGGGCUCAACCCGGGAAUGGCACCCUAAACUACGAACCUUGAAUGCUUGAGAGGUUGGCGGAAUUCCUGGCGUAGGAGUGAAAUCCGUAGAUAUCAGGAGGAAUAUCGGAGGCGAAGGCGGCCAACUGGUGGUGCAUUGACGCUGAGGUGCGAAAGCGUGGGGAGCAAACAGG